rnacentral:rRNA from 1 species
AGCGAACGUUUGCGGCGGGCCUAACACAUGCAAGUCGAACGCACUAGCAAUAGUGAGUGGCGCACGGGUGCGUAACACGUGGGUAAUCAACCCUUCAGCCUGGGAUAACGACUCGAAAGGGUCGCUAAUACCGGAUACGGCGCGAGAGGCUUCGGCUUCUCACGAGAAAGCCACGCAAGGGGCACUGAAGGACGAGCCUGCGGCCCAUCAGCUAGUUGGUGAGGUAAGAGCUCACCAAGGCUAAGACGGGUAGCUGGUCUGAGAGGAUGAUCAGCCACACUGGAACUGAGACACGGUCCAGACUCCUACGGGAGGCAGCAGUGGGGAAUAUUGCGCAAUGGGCGAAAGCCUGACGCAGCCACGCCGCGUGAGCGAUGAAGGCCUCGGUCGUAAGACGUCUGUGGGAGGAGACGAAGAAAGAC